rnacentral:rRNA from 1 species
AUGAACGCUGGCGGCGUGCCUCAUACAUGCAAGUCGAGCGAACAGACGAGGAGCUUGCUCCUCUGACGUUAGCGGCGGACGGGUGAGUAACACGUGGAUAACCUACCUAUAAGACUGGGAUAACUUCGGGAAACCGGAGCUAAUACCGGAUAAUAUAUUGAACCGCAUGGUUCAAUAGUGAAAGACGGUUUUGCUGUCACUUAUAGAUGGAUCCGCGCCGCAUUAGCUAGUUGGUAAGGUAACGGCUUACCAAGGCAACGAUGCGUAGCCGACCUGAGAGGGUGAUCGGCCACACUGGAACUGAGACACGGUCCAGACUCCUACGGGAGGCAGCAGUAGGGAAUCUUCCGCAAUGGGCGGAAGCUUGACGGAGCAACGCCGCGUGAGUGAUGAAGGUCUUCGGAUCGUAAAACUCUGUUAUUAGGGAAGAACAAAUGUGUAAGUAACUAUGCACGUCUUGACGGUACCUAAUCAGAAAGCCACGGCUAACUACGUG